UACGUAGGUCCCGAGCGUUGUCCGGAUUUAUUGGGCGUAAAGCGAGCGCAGGUGGUUUAUUAAGUCUGGUGUAAAAGGCAGUGGCUCAACCAUUGUAUGCAUUGGAAACUGGUAGACUUGAGUGCAGGAGAGGAGAGUGGAAUUCCAUGUGUAGCGGUGAAAUGCGUAGAUAUAUGGAGGAACACCGGAGGCGAAAGCGGCUCUCUGGCCUGUAACUGACACUGAGGCGCGAAAGCGUGGGGAGCAAACAGG
rnacentral:rRNA from 1 species